CAUCUGUUACCCCCUAUUUCCCCCUUCCAUUCCCCCUCAAUCGACUCAAGUCGUUAUUACACAAACAAACAAGCAAGCACACAACUUAAAUGGCUUCCAACGACCAAAACCAUCCCAGAGCCACGCAAGUUUUUUCAUCAUUAUCCACAAAAAAAAAAAAAGACACACACACACACAAUCAUUCGGCUACUUUCCUCCUUUGAUGUAAUUCAUUAUCCAAGCCACCUUCGAAAAUGGAGCUGACCGUUUCCACAAACCAUCCUAACAACAAUUUCCUUUCUCCGAGGUGGAAUUCCAAUCCAAUCCGACAAACAAUCAACAAAAGUCUCCACUUUUCUCAGCCGAUUCAGAAGAAGCUCCGCCGCCGGAUAUCAAAUUUGGCGGCGGCGAAUAACACAGGCUAUAGAACUGGUAGUAAUAGCAAAAGUGAUAAAAUCAACAAUAAUACUUUGGCAACAACAAGAACUUCGUCGGCGGAGACCGAGACGGUUGCAAUGGCUGCCGGAAAUGGAAAGCCUAGUAGUGCUGGUAACGGGAAUACGGCCUUGGAGCAGCUUGAUUUUGAGCGCGGCGUUUGCAUUCCGUUUCGCAAGUACUCUCCCCAAACAGUGAGGGAUAAGGUAUUGGAGUCAAGAGGCGCAAUAUUGUCACUCAUUGGUCGCGGGGUGGAGAUAGUAUGGAAGUUAGGCCUUUAUUGGUCUACAUUAGUGUAUGAUUAUUUCGUUGGUCGUGAUGAAGAAGUGGUUCCAUUUCGCGCCAGCCAGCUAAGAAAUCUUCUCUGUGAUCUCGGACCUUCUUUUAUCAAAGCUGGACAGGUCCUUGCAAACAGGCCUGAUAUAAUUCGAGAAGAUUACAUGAAUGAACUUUGCAUUCUUCAAGAUGAUGUUCCUCCUUUUCCCGACCAGAAGAGGAAUUAGGUCAACCUCUUGAAGCUGUUUUCAGCAAAAUUUCAUCAGAGACUAUAGCAGCAGCUAGUUUGGGUCAGGUUUACCGAGCUACUUUGUGUGCCUCCGGAGAGGAUGUUGCAAUUAAGGUGCAAAGACCUGAGAUAGAGCCUAUUAUAUAUCGAGAUCUUUUCCUUUUCCGGACCCUGGCAUCAUUCUUGAAUGGCAUCAGUUUACAAAAGCUGGGUUGCAAUGCAGAGCUUAUAGUUGAUGAAUUUGGCGAGAAGCUUCUGGAGGAGCUUGAUUACACUUUGGAGGCUCGCAAUAUUGAAGAUUUCCUAGAAAACUUUAAAGAUGAUCCCACUGUUAAAAUUCCCGGGGUUUACCGACAGCUUUCUGGUUCACAUGUCUUGGUAAUGGAAUGGAUUGAUGGGAUCCGAUGCACUGAUCCACAGGCUAUCAAGGAGGCGGGAAUUGACAUAGAUGGAUUCUUGACUGUUGGAGUAAGUGCUGCCUUGAGACAGUUGCUGGAGUUUGGUCUAUUCCAUGGUGAUCCACACCCAGGAAAUGUUUUUGCUUUGCGUGAUGGACGUAUAGCAUAUGUCGAUUUUGGGAAUGUUGCUGUGCUUAGUCAGCAAAACAAACAGAUUUUGAUAGAUGCUGUCGUACAUGCUGUAAAUGAGGAUUAUGCUGAGAUGGCAAACGAUUUUACCAGGCUCGGUUUUCUGGCUAGUGGAACUGAUGUAUCCCCAAUCAUUCCAGCUCUUGAAGCAAUUUGGCAGAAUUCACUUGAAAAAGGACUUGCUGACUUCAAUUUCAGAAGUGUGACAGGAAAAUUUAAUCAAUUAGUUUAUAAUUAUCCCAUCAGAAUUCCAGAGAGAUUUUCCCUUGUUAUCCGUUCUUUGUUGACACAAGAAGGCAUCUGUUUGACACUGGAGCCAGAUUUCAAAUUUCUUGAGGUUGCCUAUCCAUAUGUGGCAAAGCGCCUCUUGACUGAUCCUAACCCUGCUUUACGUGAACGCCUUAUUCAGGUUUGGUUUAACCUUUUGCUGUAUGUUACAGCCAUCUUCUAAUGCACAUUAUUAUCUUUUCUUCUAUUUGAUUAUUGAAAGACAAAAAUCCCUUAUAUCCAUCAAUUGAUGCAUGACCUUAUGGCUGUGGACUGAUAUCCCUGCUUAAUUGUUCCCCAUAUCGUUCAUGUUGUGAGCUGUUGAGACUGCAUCCUGUGAAAUUUAAUUGCUAAGUUGCUUGAUACAGAUGUUACGAAUUUAUGUUUCACCAAUUCUUGAUGCUUUUCUAUAUCAUGCGGUAACAAUUACAGCUGGAUGUAUUAUUUUGUGAAAUUGCGCAUCCCGCUUUGUGGUUUGUUUGUGGCUCUUCUUUAUUAUUAAUUCUCCUUAGUGCUCUUUACUGGAAGAAGGGUUACUCUUUCGAGAAUCAUGAAGGGAAGGAAAGAAGAAAAGAUUGCUUUGACUACUACCAAUGGCGUAUUUUGGACACCCCAGAUAAUACAGUUACUGUCUGGGAAAGAAUGAUCUGCAAUAUUUUCUCAAACACUCAUUUUAGUCCUCAAAUGAAACAGUUUAAUCCUUAUUUAUGUAUAUACCACUUCAUGUAAUAUCUUGUGACUUUUUUAACUUGACAAAACAUACUUAAUCAUUGGCCUGCUAAUUGUCAUCCAUUAAUUCUCAUGCCCUGCCACCUGCACCUAAUUUGGGCCAAUGCAAAUCCCAUUAAAGUUCAUGUUUGUUCAUAUUUUUAUAGCCACCAAGCUAUCAUGUCCAUGAGUUCUCUUCACUUCAGCAUCAUAGAAACCUGUCAAGUAGUUCAUCCACCUCUCCAUCUGUCAAUUCAUCCUGCCACACCCAUCUUAGCAAUCUCUCUGAAGUCAAAUAUAAGAAUUUUCUGGAAUUCAUUUAACCCUCUAAUGUGUUUCUUGGAAGGCAUGGUUUGAUGUGUCAGAUAGUGAAGUGUUUCAAUGCUCUUGCCUACAUGUGAGACAGUGUUAGUUACUUUGUUGGAUCAGGAAGGUUGAAAUGUUGUUUUAGGUCUGAAAGGGAAAACUUUGCAUUCUGCUUUUGCUGCUGUAUCUAAGUGUAUAUGAUGCUUGUUCCCCAGGAAUUGAAGUGAGGCACUGGGAUUCUUGGAUAUAUUGGGAAAUGUUGUAACAACCUUGUGAAGUUUGAGUUAAGUAAGUUUGGAUGGGAACUUUUAUGGUAAAAACAAAAAUAAGCUUCUCAUUUAGAGGAAACCAGAGUUGGGUUCAUUUGCUGGUAAAUUAGCUUCUUAAUGAUGGUACUGGGUGAUUUGCUGGGACUAAUAGCUUUUCUUCUUGAGCAAUGAUGGGCCAAAAUAUAAGGGUUCGUACGAUUUACCAUACAUAAAUAGGAAAUGCAGCAAUUGCUGAAGAAAAAAUAGAUUAAUGGUCGUAGUUUGUUCAAUCUCAAAGUUGCAUUGUGUUUCUUCUCCUGUCUCCUUGCAGGAAAACAGUGCCCUGGUUGGUUUCCUUUUGAAUUUUGCUAGUACUAGUUUCUCUGUGUGAAAUUUUUGAAGAGGCAGAUCAUUUGCUUUCUCUGUCUAGCUUACCAGUUGUCUUGUUCUUCUCACCAGUGUCCCUGGCAUCAUAUGCUGGCUAUGCUGACAGCUUCUUACUGAUUUUUUUCAAUUUUCUUUUUUGGGGAGAACAACUUUUAUUCAUUCACUUCAUUUUCUGAGGAAGAAUUUGUUCACCUGUUUAAUAUCAACUAAAUUACUAGUUAUGUACUGACUGUGACGAUCCAAAUUGUCACCCUGCAAAUGCAAAUGGAACAAGUGGCAGCAGAAAAACAGAAGUAAAUAUUGGCUGUGCUAGAUUGAGUACAUCAUGUGAACUUAUGACAAUAUGGGAAAGUUGCUAUAGGUGGUGUUGUAGUUUUAUGUGUUGCAAUUAUUGAAUACAUAUUUUGAAAAAUUCUCCCCUAGCAUGGGUUGUUACCUUUCAGUGCCUGUUUUAUCUUUGUUUUAUUGCAUUAGAAGUGAUUAAAGUAAUUUAAGUGGUGGCUCCAAUGAAAUAUGUUGCUUGCAAAACAUUGCUUAUGGUUUGUGUAUGUUUUGAUUCUUUUGUUACAUCCAAUGCUGAGGUUGUAUGGUGAUUGAUUAUAGAAUUCUGAUGGACUGUAAAAUAAAUAAUUUUCAAGCUUUCUUUUAAGUCUGCCCUUCCCCUCAUAUGUUAGGUCUUGUUUAAAGACGGUGUUUUCCAGUGGAAGCGUCUUGAGAAUCUAAUUGUUCUAGCAAAGGAGAAUGUGGCAAAGAUGAGCAGCAACCCAGCACUGCGAGGAGAGAGCAGGCAAAGGUCCAAACAGUGGCGCAUUGAAAGAAAGUUGGACCUUACAGACACAAUAAAGGAUGGAGCUAGACUUUUUCUCCUCGAUGCGGGUAUACGUAGACAGCUACUCCUUGCCCUAACUGAAGAUUCCAAGCUUCACAUUCAGGAGCUUAUUGAUGUGUACAGAUUGCUCGAGGACCAAAUAGAUAUACCGUCUGUAGCUCUAGAAGUCGCACAAGACUUACCAUCUGUUGCUAGGGAUGUUAUGCUGUCCUGGAGUGCCUCUGUCUUGUCUGAUAGGUAGUUUAGGCUACUAGCUUCCGUCUACCACAGUAUAUACCUAUUCCCACUGAAUGAAGUUAGGGCUUGGACUCCAUAAUUCGUAAGACGCCUUCUGUACGCUGUAAAUAUCCCCUUUUAUGAGUUAUGAGGACGUCCUAUCUGCUCAGUGAUUCUUAAUGCCGCAAGAGUACCAAUUAGUGCUCAACAGAUGUUACAAAAGUCAUAUAGUGAUAAUAGAUUUUGUGCAAGACAUCAAGGUAGUUGGUAAAUUAUCUUGCACUGUCAUCGCAAAUACCUAAGUUCUUGCAAUACUUUUAACAAAAAGUACCUUCAUCAAUAUGUUACAAUGAUGAAUUGUUGACUGGCCUAUGCUUGUCAUUAAAAUUACACUCUAGGCCAUUCUUUU